rnacentral:rRNA from 1 species
UACGGGGGGGGCAAGCGUUGUUCGGAAUUACUGGGCGUAAAGGGCGCGUAGGCGGCCUGCUAAGUCGGAUGUGAAAUCCCUCGGCUCAACCGAGGAACUGCAUCCGAUACUGGAUGGCUUGGAAUCCGGGAGAGGGAUGCAGAAUUCCAGGUGUAGCGGUGAAAUGCGUAGAUAUCUGGAGGAAUACCGGUGGCGAAGGCGGCAUCCUGGACCGGCAUUGACGCUGAUGAGCGAAAGCCAGGGGAGCAAACGGG